AACGAACGCUGGCGGCAGGCUUAACACAUGCAAGUCGAACGCCCCGCAAGGGGAGUGGCAGACGGGUGAGUAACGCGUGGGAACGUGCCCUUCUCUUCGGAAUAGCCCCGGGAAACUGGGAGUAAUACCGAAUACGCCGUAUUGGGAAAGAUUUAUCGGCGAAGGAUCGGCCCGCGUUAGAUUAGCUAGUUGGCGGUGUAAUGGACCACCAAGGCUACGAUCUAUAGCUGGUCUGAGAGGAUGAUCAGCCACACUGGGACUGAGACACGGCCCAGACUCCUACGGGAGGCAGCAGUGGGGAAUCUUGGACAAUGGGCGCAAGCCUGAUCCAGCCAUGCCGCGUGAGUGAAGAAGGCCUUAGGGUUGUAAAACUCUUUCGCCGGAGAAGAUAAUGACGGUAUCCGGAGAAGAAGCCCCGGCUAACUUCGUGCCAGCAGCCGCCGUAAUAC
rnacentral:rRNA from 1 species